rnacentral:tRNA from 1 species
CGAGGUGUGGCGCAAUUGGUAGCGCGCUUGCUUUGGGACUAAGAGAACGGCUCAAACCCCUAACCUUGA